UCACUAGCAUUAUAUGCUUCUCCCCAAAAAGAAACGAGAAGAAGAAAUUUGUUAUUGAUAGUAUGGAGCAGAAACCUAUUCUUCUUUGCCUUAUGGUGCUUCUGCUGCUGGGAAAUUGUACUCAUGCUGGUACGAAAUCGAUCUCCAUGUACUUAUUUUGCUUUCUCCUGCCGAUUAUAGUAUAGUAACAUUGGCAGUUGAGCGGCAUGAUUUUCAUUAGAACUUCCUCAAUUUAAAAUUCUUUCAAUGAUGUAUGUUCUUGUGUACAGAGAAUUGCAAAACUGAAACAGCUUUUGGAACCACCCUAUGCGCAUUUGUUACUUGCCUGAGCACCUGCAUAUCUGUGUGGGGGAAUCUUGUGAAACAAGCAGAUUGUAAGCCUGUCAGACCUUCCUAUACAAUUUGUACUUGUCUCGUAUGUGUCUAGAAUUACACUUUGCCAUCAUUUCGAACAAUGGGCAAUGAUGUGAUCCAGUAAUAAAAUCUUCUUGUCAAAUGGAUGUGAGGAUGUAUGAGAUCACUAAAUUUGGAUGUUAUGGUGAUCUGAUUUUACUCUGUUUUGUGUAGUCUUAGAAUCGAUGAUUUUAUGUUUGUAUGGACCCGUGUUCAAAAGUUUAUAAACAACCAUAUACGACCUGAAUGAACAAAACUUACUAUACUGGCACCCGCGUUUGGCAACAUCAUUUGACUCG
rnacentral:lncRNA from 1 species